UACGAAGGGGGCUAGCGUUGUUCGGAAUCACUGGGCGUAAAGGGCGCGUAGGCGGCUUUGUAAGUCGGGGGUGAAAGCCUGUGGCUCAACCACAGAAUUGCCUUCGAUACUGCAUGGCUUGAGACCGGAAGAGGUAAGUGGAACUGCGAGUGUAGAGGUGAAAUUCGUAGAUAUUCGCAAGAACACCAGUGGCGAAGGCGGCUUACUGGUCCGGAUCUGACGCUGAGGCGCGAAAGCGUGGGGAGCAAACAGGAUUAGAAACCCUCGUAGUCC
rnacentral:rRNA from 1 species